CGCGCAGGCGGUCGUUCAAGUCGCGUGUGAAAGCCCCCGGCUCAACUGGGGAGGGUCACGCGAUACUGGUCGACUCGAAGGCAGGAGAGGGUAGUGGAAUUCCCGGUGUAGUGGUGAAAUGCGUAGAUAUCGGGAGGAACACCAGUGGCGAAGGCGACUACCUGGCCUGUUUCUUGACGCUGAGGCGCGAAAGCUAGGGAGCAAACG
rnacentral:rRNA from 1 species